GAUGAAGACAGCUUGCUCUCUGAUUCAGCGGCGGCACGGGUGAGUAAUGCCUAGGAAUCUGCCUGAUAGUGGGGGACAACGUUUCGAAAGGAACGCUAAUACCGCAUACGUCCUACGGGAGAAAGCAGGGGACCUUCGGGCCUUGCGCUAUCAGAUGAGCCUAGGUCGGAUUAGCUAGUUGGUGAGGUAAUGGCUCACCAAGGCGACGAUCCGUAACUGGUCUGAGAGGAUGAUCAGUCACACUGGAACUGAGACACGGUCCAGACUCCUACGGGAGGCAGCAGUGGGGAAUAUUGGACAAUGGGCGAAAGCCUGAUCCAGCCAUGCCGCGUGUGUGAAGAAGGUCUUCGGAUUGUAAAGCACUUUAAGUUGGGAGGAAGGGCAUUAACCUAAUACGUUAGUGUUUUGACGUUACCGACAGAAUAAGCACCGGCUAACUUCGUGCCAGCAGCCGCGGUAAUACGAAGGGUGCAAGCGUUAAUCGGAAUUACUGGGCGUAAAGCGCGCGUAGGUGGUUUGUUAAGUUGAAUGUGAAAGCCCCGGGCUCAACCUGGGAACUGCAUCCAAAACUGGCAAGCUAGAGUAUGGCAGAGGGUGGUGGAAUUUCCUGUGUAGCGGUGAAAUGCGUAGAUAUAGGAAGGAACACCAGUGGCGAAGGCGACCACCUGGGCUAAUACUGACACUGAGGUGCGAAAGCGUGGGGAGCAAACAGGAUUAGAUACCCUGGUAGUCCACGCCGUAAACGAUGUCGACUAGCCGUUGGGGAUCCUUGAGAUCUUAGUGGCGCAGCUAACGCAUUAAGUCGACCGCCUGGGGGAGUACGGCCGCAAGGUUAAAACUCAAAUGAAUUGACGGGGGGCCCGCACAAGCGGGUGGAGCAUGUGGUUUAAUUCGAAAGCAACGCGAAAAACCUUACCAGGCCUUGACAUGGCAAGAACUUUCCAGAGAUGGAUUGGUGCCUUCGGGAAC
rnacentral:rRNA from 2 species